rfam:Salmo salar isolate Sally breed double haploid chromosome ssa11, whole genome shotgun sequence.
UCCUCUGUGGCUCAGUUGGUAGAGCAUGGUGUUUGCAACGCCAGGGUUGUGGGUUCGAUUCCCACGGGGGAC